GGGGAUUUGGUGUAGGGGUAUCACGUCUGCUUUGCAUCUUCGCUUCUGCAGAAGGCCGGGGGUUCAAAUCCCUCAGUCUCCA
rnacentral:tRNA from 1 species